rnacentral:rRNA from 1 species
CCUACGGGUGGCAGCAGUGGGGAAUAUUGCACAAUGGGGGAAACCCUGAUGCAGCGACGCCGCGUGAGUGAAGAAGUAAUUCGUUACGUAAAGCUCUAUCAGCAGGGAAGAAACACUGACCUUACGGUCAGCAGACGGUACCUGAGUAAGAAGCCCCGGCUAACUACGUGCCAGCAGCCGCGGUAAUACGUAGGGGGCAAGCGUUAUCCGGAUUUACUGGGUGUAAAGGGAGCGUAGACGGUGCGCCAAGUUUGGAGUGAAAUGCCGCAGCUUAACUGCGGAACUGCUGUGGAAACUGGCGAACUAGAGUGCGGGAGGGGUAAGCGGAAUUCCUAGUGUAGCGGUGAAAUGCGUAGAUAUUAGGAGGAACACCGGUGGCGAAGGCAGCUUACUGGACCGUAACUGACGUUGAGGCUCGAAAGCGUGGGGAGCAAACAGGAUUAGAUACCCGAGUAGUC